UGAACAAAGAUCUCAGAAAUCUUGGGGUAGGUAUUUGAUGCGCUGAAAAGGGGACUGGUUUAUAAACAAUUCUUACGAGAGCUUCUGAAUAUUUCUGGAUCGAGAAUGAUGUCCUCAGAUCAGGUCUACAGGACGGAAACCGGGUCCUAGCGGAAGAGCAAAGAAAUGCAGAACUCCUAC